AUCCCAAAUUCAUUUAAAGCUCCGAUUCAAUGAGACCUCGGCCGUCGAUUCCCUGUAGCCUCUUCAGAACCUCCACCCACCCACUAACUUUAAACAGAAACCAUCCGACGGCGUGGUUCAGAUCCUUUGGAAAUAUCACAAUUGCAUUCCAGGAUUUUCUUUUGCAUCCAGCCGAUCGUGGAAUUCACAAUUCGUCACCUUUUUCUGGACCUCGCACCCCCUCAAAAACACGUUAAAAAAAAAGAAAAGCGUGUUUCACGCCUUACCUGUCAUACAGAGUCGACUUCGGCUGCACUUCAUAAAACUUGUGAGAAAUCGAUGGACGUGGGGCGACAGCAAACCCCAGGCUUCUGGAGUCACAACACUGAGAAUGGGACAGGAGAAUUGGCUCAGAAUUCGUUGUGUGUGUGUGCGCGCCGAGUCCCCGAGGAGCCAAGCACAACGUCAAAAGCAUGCAGAUGAAACACGCAUUGGUAUUUGAGGAGAAAGAACUGCCCUUAAAAAUCGAAGACAAACAAAACACACCGAAUCACCGUGUCCCUUUUUUCAAAGAUAUAUUCGAUAAAAUGGUAAAUAAUCCGCUUUAUUUCCCCCUCCCCCCGUGAUACCGGAUUUUUCUUAUAUUCCGCUGCCACUUCCACACAGACUUUAUAUAGAGAACAUUAUAUCCUGCAUUCCGCAAGGAUGACUGGUGCCAAAUAUUACUUUGGAACCCGGUUCGUUCUGGCGCAGAAUAUUUGUGCAGGAUGCGUUUGGAAUUGCAAACCACAGUCACAAAGGUAAAUCCAUUUUACUGACUUUAGCUUGACGCGAAAUAGAGAGGUUGGGGGGGGGGGAUAACAACUUUUAAAUUGGAUCUUAAAGGAAAAGCUGGUGUAUAUUUCUCGAGCUCACACCGAGGCGCUCCUUCGCGUGGCUGGUGAAUGAUCAAAAAUGGUCAACGAAUUGUGAACAAACUUUAUUUUCUGUCCUGCCGUUCUACUGCAAAUCGACAAAAAGGAGAGUCACCUUCGCAAAAGCCGACGGGAGCAAAACCGGCGUUUAGUAUUUCAACAUCAACCAGAUUCCUCUGUCCCUCUGUGUCCAAGGCUACUUCGAAUGUGAAGGUAUUAUUAAAAAUCCCAAAGACAUACCUAAAUGUGUCAGCAGUUCGGCUGGUAAUAGUGGCCUGGGACGCGGGGAAGCUAACUGCAACAUUUCUGAGUGUGUACAGUCAUAUCUCCAGGAAUCCCACCUAUAGUAUCGACCUCCCCAUAGAAGGAAAACUGCUGAGACGCCGACGAAUGAAUGCUCCCAGUAUUUGUGCGAGGAAUGGGGCGGGGCGGCUCCGAGGAUUGGCUCCCCCAAAGAAGCCGAGCCAUGCACCAAAACCUUUCAUUGUCAAAACCACUGGAACGGGGUCCAAGAAAGCAAACUCUCGGAUUCCUUUUAGAGAGCAUUUUUUCAUACCCGUCUGUGACCACGCGGCCAAACGUGGCAACAUUUUUUUAAAACUUCCUUUCUGUUUUGUAAAGCAUCCGAUUUCCAAUGUAUUCCCCCCUCCACCACCACCUCUCGAAAUGGAUAAAUUAGACAGGGAUCUCACUCCGGUCACAGCCUCUGGGUGGGUGUAAACCCCCCCCCCCCCCACUUCGAGCCUCUCGGCUUUAACUUUCUCAUUUCUCUCAGCCCUGCCCGAUCCUCUAUGUCUCGCAUCAAAAAAAAUCGCACUCGGUUACGACCGCACGGUUUGCAUCCAGACAUGGCCAAAUGCGGCCAACAACAGACCUGUUCAGGAGGUCCCCGUGAGGCUGAACCCAAGUGCAAGGAGCCCGCCAAAAAGCAAAACCCUAACCCUAACCAAAAAGCAAUCCCCUUUCCCUGCAGGGGCGAAAGGCGGCAGCGCAGAGGUUUUUGUGUCAGCACCGGGUUAAACACCUUGUUGCUUUGGGGGUGGGGGAAGUGUUGUUCCAGCCGGCUGGAUCACACAGGAUCCCGAGUGCAAACAAUCCGCUGGCUCACAUCUGGAAAUGAAGCCAGGAGGCUGCUCAUGUUUAAUGCACGCCCGCCCGCCCGCUUCUACUCACGGACCUGGCGGCCCCGGGGGUUAUUACGAAACAUUGACGGUCGCCCGCUUUUCUUCAGGUUCUCGCUGCUUCGCAUCCAAAAACGUCCUGUUCAAUUAGCAAACCUGACACACCGCACCUCGCCCUCUCAUGUUUUGUUUUUCUCUCUCUCCCACAUGCUCCGACAAGCAGUCGGAUGAGGGCGGCCAGUUUGUCUCUGAAGCGCCUUCAGGAGGUGUUUCUCCACCCCCUUCUCUCUGAAAAGGAUUUGGUUGGCCUCGUCGAAUGGACGUCUUACAUUUGGACAUCUCCUGACCCAUUGAAUUCAGCAGUGUUAACUUGACAUAUGUGUCUGGAAAAGCAAUACAGUUUAAAAGAGGCAUCAGAGAAGGCUCCAAGAACAAGAGAACAGCAAGGAGAAUAUGAACAGAACACCAUCAGAGUGAGAUGUUCAAAAAAAGAGAUUUCCAAGAAACAAGUUUUCAUAAAUCAACAAUAAUGCUGCUGAAAAGAGUCCAGACAAUUUUCAAGUAUUGUAUCCAUGGAUGUUGUGAGGAUCAGAAAGUCUUCUUUCUCCCUUAAAGCCUGCUUUUCCCACUAAGCUGAUGUGUGUGAACAGCCUCUAGCUAUUGAACUAUAGAUCCUGUCAUAGCUGUUGAUUUCCAAAUACAAGUUUUCAAACCAUUCAUGUUGGAAAGAGAAAUCUUCAAGGAAGUAACUGGUCUACAACAAUAACAGAUGGAUCUUAUUCUUAUUCAUAUCUACUUCCAAUUGUUAUAUCCAUAUUUUAUCUAAUAUUUGUAUUUUUUUUGUUAGUAACUUUGAUGAAUAGUUGUGUAAUAAUCUAACCUUUGAUCUUGUUUAAAAAAGUACACAAUUAUUUUUAAAUUGGAACACAAACUAAAAGGGACUAAAUGCAUAAUCUAAACUCACAUUCAUGGAUAACGACAUGGACAUUUUGGAUGUGGCCAUAAUAUCUUAUUGAGUCAGAUAACCAGUAUUGUCCCAAUUAUUCUUGAUUUUCAAAUCACAGUUUUGCUCUGGUCCUUUACCUAUGCUGUUUUUUUCAUUCAUCACAGGAUGUGGGCGUUGCUAGCUGGCCAACAUUUAUUACCAGCCCCUAGUUGCCCUUGAGAAUGUAGUAUUGAGCUGCCUUCUUUAACUGCUGCAGUCUAUGUGCUCUACCUUGACCCACUAUGCUGUUAGGGGUGGAAUUCCAGGAUUUUGACCCAGUGAAAGUGAAGGAACAAUGAAAUAUAUCCAAGUCAUGUGGCAAGUGGUUUAGAGGGGAACUAGGUGGUGGUGAUGUUUUCAUGUAUCUGGUGCCCUUGUCCUUCGAGAUGAAAGUGGUCAUGGAUUUGCAAGGUGCUGUCUAAAGAUCUUUGAUGAAUUUUCUAUGUGCAUCUUAAAGAUAGUAUACACUGCUGCUAGUGAAUGUCAGCAGUAGAGAGAGUGGAUGCUAAUGGUUGUGGUGCCAACAAGUGCUGAGAUUCCUUGGAUGAUAUCAAGCUUCUUGAGGGUUGUUGGAGCUGCACCCUCUGGGCAAAUUCCAUCACAAUCCUGACUUGUGCCUUUGGGGAGACGGAGGUGACUUACUCACCACAGUAUUCCUUGUCUCUGAUCUACUCUUGUAGCCUACGUAUUUGAACUUCUGGCUAAUGGUAACCCCCAGAAUGUUGAUAGUGGAAGGUUCAGUGAUGGUAACACCGUUAAAUGGGGUGCUGGUUAGACUGCCUAGCAUUAUGUGGCGCAAAUGUUACUUGGUACUUUGUCAAUCCAAGCCUGGAUAUUGUUCAGAUCUUGCUGCAUUUGAACAUGGAUUGCUUCAGUAUCUGAAGAGUUGCAAAUGGUGAAAAACAUUGUGCAGUCAUCAGCGAACAUCACCACUUCUGACCUUAUGAUGAAGGGAAGGUCAUUGAUAAAGCAACUGAAAAUGGUUGGCCCUAGGAUACUACCUACAACACUAGGACACUAAAACUGCAUUGUUGACUCAAUGUAGAACUGUUAAUAGCAAUACACUGGAUUUAAAAACAGCUCCCAGAAUUAAAAAGAUGAUAUACUAACAUAAGAUGCAUACUAGUAAUAUCUUUUAUUUAAAAAGUAACAUUUAUUUUGUCUUUAAUACUCAAGCAUAGUAUUAUUCUUAAAUUACUAAGCAGAAUAUCAUUAUCCAAGCAACAUACUGUUGUUGUGUCCUCCACCUGGGUAUUGGUCUCAAUCUCUUGACCCUGCUCUGUUCUCAUUUCUUGUUAACCUUCUUGCACAAUCUUCAAUUUAUUUUUAAGUGUUCACUUUGUUGUCUAUUAAUUGUUCCAAAAAUUGGUUAGCUAGCAAAGGAGAGUCUAGCAGAUACCUUGCACAACAAUUUCCACAUAUGAUUCAAUUUAGUCAGGUUACUAAAUGCAGCACUUUCGUCUUGCCCCUUUUGGUAGAAUGCUUUUCAAAUUAGAUAUAGGCUACAAAAGAUACUGAGAGUUCUCAACAGUGAUUCUUAAAUACUGCUAAAAUCCACUCAGGUAUUUUUCAAGAAAGAUAUUUAUGUAGCAAGAAUUUUCUGAUGGGCUGAGCAGAAAAAGUGAUUAAUACUCUCUCCUCAAAAACUGAUGAGCUACAUUGUAUUGUCAGUUUGGUGACCCCAAUUGGCCAGUAAUAUUCAAAAAACUUUGAACCCAAAAAUGGAUUAAGCUUCUUCACUACAGUCAUGAAUUUGUGCUUUAAGUUUGUCCUUUGAUCACCAAAUCUGAAAGUCUGCUCCCAGCACUAAUUUUAAUUACAGUCAUAAAGGUAUACAGCAUGGAAAUAGGCCCUUCGGCCCAACUUAUUCAUGCUGACCAGGUUUUCUAAGCUGAACUAUUCCCAUUUGCCUAUGUUUGUCUCACAUUCCUCUAAAUCUUUCCUAUCUAUGUGUCUGUCCAAAUGCAUUUUGAAUGUUGUAAUUGUACCCACCUCUGCCAGUUCCUCUGGCAGUCCAUUCCAUAUAUGCAUCAUUCUGUAUGUGAAAAGAGUUGCCCUCACGUCCCUUUUAAAUUUUCCCCUCUUACUUUAAACCUAUACCCUCCAGUUUUGGACACUCCCUUAUCCUGGGAAAAGACUUUUGUUAUUCACCUUAUCUAUACCCCUCAUGAUUUUAUAAACCUCUAUAACGUAAUCCCUCAGCAUGCUAUGUUUCAGGGAAAAAAGUCACAACCUUUCCUUAAGUCAAACCUUAUAGUUUUGGUAAUAUCCUUGUAAAUCUUUCUUGCACCCUUUCCAGUUUAAUAACAUCUUUCCUAUACAGGCCAACCAGAAUGGUAAGCAGUACUCCAAAUGUGGCCUUACCAAUGUCUUGUAAGCUGUUACAUGACUUCCCAACUCCUGUACUCAGUGCUCUGACUGAUGAAGGCAAGCAUGCCAAGCGUCGUCUUCAUCAUCCUACUUACCAGUGGUUCUGCUUUCAAGGAAGUAUGUACCUGCACCCCAUCCUCUCUGUUUGACAACACACCUGGACCCUACAAUUAACUGUGCAAGUCCUACCCUGAUUUGCCUUACCAAAAUGUGACACCUCACAUUUAUAUCAAUUAAAUUCUGUCUGCCAUUCCUUUGCACUGGCUCAGUUAAUCAACAUCCUGUUGUAUAAUUAGGUAACUUUCUUCACUGUCCACUAUACCACCAAUUUGGAUGUAAUCCGCAAACUUACUAUGUCUCUUAUAUUCUCAUGCAAAUCAUUUAUAUAAAUGACAAAUAACAGUGGACUCAGCACUGAUCCCUACAGCACACUACUGCUCACAGGCCUCCCGUAUUAAAAAAAACCCUCUACCACCACCCUCUGUGUCCUACCAUCAAGUCAAUUUUGUAUCCAAUUGUCUAUUCCACGGCCUUAGAAGCAUCUGUGCAAAAAGAUUGUUCCUGGUCUCCAUCCACAAUUUCUUCCUUUUAUCCUUUAAUCUGCAUCCUCUAAUUCUAAAACACUCAGUUAUUUGAAAGUUUGCUUUUACUUACACUGCCCCAUUCUUCAUAAUUUUAAAUAGAUCUUCAUCUGUACUUUUUAGAAGAUAGACAACUAAAUUAAA